rnacentral:rRNA from 1 species
CUACGAGGGGCAGCAGUCGAGAAUCUUCCGCAAUGGGCGCAAGCCUGACGGAGCAAUGCCGCGUGAGGGAUGACGGCCCUAGGGUUGUAAACCUCUGUCAGAAGGGACGAAGAACGUGACGGUACCUUCAGAGGAAGCCAUGGCUAACUACGUGCCAGCAGCCGCGGUAAUACGUAGAUGGCGAGCGUUAUUCGGAUUUACUGGGCGUAAAGGGUCCGUAGGGGGUCUGCCAAGUCUGAUGUGAAAUCCUGCGGCUCAACCGCGGAACUGCAUUGGAAACUGGCGGACUGGAGUGUGCGAGGGGUGAGCGGAAUUCCUGGUGUAGCGGUGGAAUGCGUAGAUAUCAGGAAGAACACCGAUGGCGAAGGCGGCUCACUGGCGCAUCACUGACCCUGAGGGACGAAAGCGUGGGUAGCAAACAGGAUUAGAUACCCCAGUAGUC